UGGGGAAUAUUGCGCAAUGGGGGCAACCCUGACGCAGCAACGCCGCGUGAAGGAUGAAGGUCUUCGGAUUGUAAACUUUUGUCUUUGGUGAAGAUAGUGACGGUAGCCAAGGAGGAAGCCACGGCUAACUACGUGCCAGCAGCCGCGGUAAUACGUAGGUGGCAAGCGUUGUCCGGAUUUACUGGGUGUAAAGGGCGUGUAGACGGGUUAGCAAGUCAGAUGUGAAAUACCGCAGCUUAACUGCGGGGCUGCAUUUGAAACUGCAAAUCUUGAGUGCGGGAGAGGAAAGCGGAAUUCCUAGUGUAGCGGUGAAAUGCGUAGAUAUUAGGAGGAACACCAGUGGCGAAGGCGGCUUUCUGGACCGUAACUGACGUUGAGGCGCGAAAGCGUGGGUAGCAAACAGG
rnacentral:rRNA from 1 species